rnacentral:rRNA from 1 species
CCUACGGGAGGCAGCAGUGGGGAAUAUUGCACAAUGGGGGAAACCCUGAUGCAGCGACGCCGCGUGAGUGAGGAAGUAUUUCGGUAUGUAAAGCUCUAUCAGCAGGGAAGAAAAUGACGGUACCUGACUAAGAAGCCCCGGCUAACUACGUGCCAGCAGCCGCGGUAAUACGUAGGGGGCAAGCGUUAUCCGGAUUUACUGGGUGUAAAGGGAGCGUAGACGGCUAAUCAAGUCAGAAGUGAAAACCCAGGGCUCAACCUUGGGACUGCUUUUGAAACUGAGUAGCUAGAGUGCAGGAGAGGUAAGCGGAAUUCCUAGUGUAGCGGUGGAAUGCGUAGAUAUAUGGAAGAACACCAGUGGCGAAGGCGGCUCUCUGGUCUGCAACUGACGCUGAGGCUCGAAAGCAUGGGUAGCGAACAGGAUUAGAUACCCGGGUAGUC